CUCAUUAAAAAAAAAAAACAAAGCAACCGGUGUUUCUAGGCAUCUGCAACUAUCGUUUCUCUUCGAUCAAAUUUGGGAAAGUGGGUGAUUGUAUCAUCACCAAAUUGGUUAUUCUAUUUCACAUAACAUGUGAUGCUUAACAUGUUGCGCAUAUCUUACAAGUUAAGAACAAAAUUGAUACUGUUUGCAGGAGUUUCGGUUGCAUUUUCUAUGAAUUGAAUAGGUAUUCCAAUCUCGUGCUAUUUGCUUCGAUUCGCGUGUGUGUCGCUAUCCUCAUUAGGAAAACCGAACAUUACAUCGUGGGAAACCCUGCAUCAUACGAGAGGAAAGAUGACGGGCGGAGUGUGCAUCCUUCUUCUCUCUCCUUCCGCUACCUUUGCGGGAUGCUGCGACCAAUCGAAACGCUACUAGCGUGAACCAAAAUACCAGGCGUCGUAACAGGAGAUCAUCCAAAUCAGGAGUGUGUUAUUAUGCUCUUGCAUGAUGUGAAAUGAUGUCCCCUGCGAGCAGUUUUUUGUUGUUGUUAGCAAACAAACUGUCCAACUAAAAGUACGCAGCCAGUGCGAACAGCCAAGGCGAUCUGAUGCGCAAGCUGCACGUGUAGCCGCGCAAGCCGCGAGCAAAAGCUGGUACACGUUGGUGCGCAUACGCGCAAGCAGUUGCGCGAUAAGCUUCCCGGCAUUGUUUGCUUGCUUAGAUACGUUGGUUUUUUUUUUAUUUUUCAUUCAAAUGCUAGUUGCGCUUUUGCACCGAAAAAAUCUCGAAAAUGGAAAAUGGAAACCGAAAGGAUCGAAACAAGGGAAAUUUUAACAUGAAACUCUCUUCGGAUACGGAUCCGGUGGGAUUAAUGAAAGGGGCAUAACAUGUUUCGUUGGACGUCUAUCAUCCUCUCAGGCCGCAGGGACAACCAACGCCCUGGCAACGUACCUGGUGUGAUCGCAGUGUACCGAAGUUGUCACGGCCUCGGUAAUUGUCGCGUGCAUUGUUGUAGUUGUCCGGCUGGAACUGCAAGAAACGGAAAGGGAGCGCGUGUUUUAGUAGAGUACGCAACCAUUUUCAACACGCACGGCACGACCCGACAUCCUUACCUGGAAC